AUGGAAGCUAGGAGGGGAGGAGCAGGUGGAGUCGCAAGAACACAUUCAUCCUUUCUAGCUGCAUGGUGCAAACCUUAUCCGGGAAUCACUGAUCCUCUUAUAGCCGAGGCACUCGCUCUGCGAGAUGGUAUUCUCUUUGCUCAUCUACGAGGCUAUUCUGAGGUGGUUUUCGAGUCUGAUAAUUUGGAGAUUGUGAAUCUCUGGAAUACGCGUCACAAUGAUCGUGCGGUGGUGGCGCCUAUCUUGGCCGAGAUUAGGGAGCAUGUCAUUUAUUUUCAGUCUUUUAUAGUUCAGCAUAUAGGGAGAUCAGCUAAUGUUUCGGCUCACAUUUGUGCUAAACAAGCUAGCACCCUGGAUGUAACCGAAUGUUGGAUGGACUCCAUUCCGAGUCUUCUUGUAACCAGUCUCUUAGCUGAUUCAGCUGGAGCUGUUAAUGUUGAAUAA
rnacentral:rRNA from 1 species